GACGAACGCUGGCGGCGUGCUUAACACAUGCAAGUCGAACGGUGAAGCCCUUCGGGGUGGAUCAGUGGCGAACGGGUGAGUAACACGUGAGCAACCUGCCCCUGGCUCUGGGACAACCACUGGAAACGGUGGCUAAUACCGGAUACGACCCGCCUCGGCAUCGAGUGUGGGUGGAAAGUUUUUCGGCUGGGGAUGGGCUCGCGGCCUAUCAGCUUGUUGGUGCGGUGAAGGCUCACCAAGGCGACGACGGGUAGCCGGCCUGAGAGGGCGACCGGCCACACUGGGACUGAGACACGGCCCAGACUCCUACGGGAGGCAGCAGUGGGGAAUAUUGCACAAUGGGCGAAAGCCUGAUGCAGCGACGCCGCGUGAGGGAUGACGGCCUUCGGGUUGUAAACCUCUUUCAGCUCCGAAGAAGCGAAAGUGACGGUAGGAGCAGAAGAAGCACCGGCUAACUACGUG
rnacentral:rRNA from 1 species